rnacentral:miRNA from 1 species
UGGUAAGCUGCAGAACAUGUGU